AGCAGCCGCGGUAAUUCCAGCUCCAAUAGCGUAUAUUAAAGUUGUUGCAGUUAAAAAGCUCGUAGUUGAAUUUCGGGAUCAAUUUAUUGGUCGUGCUAUUGUACGUACUGGUAUUAUUGAUUCCUACCUUCUGACGAACCAUGAUGUCAUUAAUUUGGUGUCUUGGGGAAUCAGGACUGUUACUUUGAAAAAAUUAGAGUGUUUAAAGCAGGCUCACGCUUGAAUACAUUAGCAUGGAAUAACGAAAUAGGACGUUUGAUUCUAUUUUGUUGGUUUCUAGGAUCGACGUAAUGAUUAAUAGGGAUAGUUGGGGGCAUUAGUAUUCAAUUGUCAGAGGUGAAAUUCUUGGAUUUAUUGAAGACUAACUACUGCGAAAGCAUUUGCCAAGGAUGUUUUCAUUAAUCAAGAACGAAAGUUAGGGGAUCGAAGACGAUCAGAUACCGUCGUAGUCUUAACCAUAAACUAUGCCGACUA
rnacentral:rRNA from 1 species